rnacentral:rRNA from 1 species
GUGCCAGCAGCAGCGGUAAUACGAAGGGGGCUAGCGUUACUCGGAAUUACUGGGCGUAAAGCGUGCGUAGGUGGUCUGUUAAGUCUGUUGUGAAUGCCCUGGGCUCAACCUGGGAAUGGCAGUGGAUACUGGCGAGCUAGAGUGCGGUAGAGGGUAGUGGAAUUCCCGGUGUAGCAGUGAAGUGCGUAGAGAUCGGGAGGAACACCAGUGGCGAAGGCGGCUACCUGGACCAGCACUGACACUGAGGCACGAAAGCGUGGGGAGCGAACAGGAUUAGAUACCCUGGUAGUCC